UACGGAGGGUGCAAGCGUUAUCCGGAAUUACUGGGCGUAAAGAGUUGCGUAGGUGGCAUUGUAAGCAAGUAGUGAAAGCGUUCGGCUUAACCGGAUAUACAUUAUUUGAACUGCAAAGCUAGAGGAUGAGAGAGGUUAUUGGAAUUCCCAGUGUAGGAGUGAAAUCCGUAGAUAUUGGGAGGAACACCGAUGGCGUAGGCAGAUAACUGGCUCAUUCCUGACACUAAGGCACGAAAGCGUGGGGAGCGAACGGG
rnacentral:rRNA from 1 species